ACCUGGUUGGCUAUGUUGGUUAAGCACCCGACUUUGGCUCAGGUCAUGAUCUUGUGAUUCAUGGGUUCGAGCCCCAUGUCAGGCU
rnacentral:tRNA from 1 species